rnacentral:rRNA from 1 species
GUCCACGCCUUAAACUAUGGAUACUAAGUGUCGGCGGUUUACCGCCGGUGCCGCAGCUAACGCAAUAAGUAUCCCGCCUGGGAAGUACGGCCGCAAGGUUGAAACUCAAAGGAAUUGACGGGGCCGCACAAGCGGUGGAGCAUGUGGUUUAAUUCGACGCAACGAGAAGAACCUUACCCAGGCUGGACAUGCAGGUAGUAGAAGGGUGAAAGCCCAACGAGGUAGAAAUACCAUCCUGCUCAGGUGCUGCAUGGCUGUAGU